rnacentral:rRNA from 1 species
UACGUAGGGUCCGAGCGUUGUCCGGAUUUAUUGGGCGUAAAGAGCUCGUAGGCGGGUUGGUAAGUCCGCUGUGAAAGCCCGGAGCUUAACUCCGGAGGGUCGGUGGAUACUGCCAGUCUUGAAGGUGCUAGGGGGAGAUGGAAUUACCGGUGUAGCGGUGAAAUGCGUAGAUAUCGGUAGGAACACCAGUGGCGAAGGCGGUCUCCUGGGGCAUUCUUGACGCUGAGGCGCGAAAGCUGGGGGAGCAAACGGG